AACUCUUAGCGGUGGCUCACUCGGCUCGUGCGUCGAUGAACAAUGCAGCUAGCUGCGAGAACUAAUGUGAAUGGCAGGACACGUUCAUCAUCAACACUUCGAAUGCACUUUGCGGCCCCGUGCUCCUCGUGGCGCUACGCCUGUCUGUGUGUCA